rnacentral:tRNA from 2 species
AAUGUAUUAGGAUAAAUUGAGUCUUUUGGGUUCAUACCCCAUUGGUAUUAUACAUUU